rnacentral:rRNA from 1 species
UACGAAGGGGGCUAGCGUUGUUCGGAUUUACUGGGCGUAAAGCGCACGUAGGCGGAUCUUUAAGUCAGAGGUGAAAUCCCAAGGCUCAACCUUGGAACUGCCUUUGAUACUGGGGAUCUUGAGUCCGGGAGAGGUGAGUGGAACUGCGAGUGUAGAGGUGAAAUUCGUAGAUAUUCGCAAGAACACCAGUGGCGAAGGCGGCUCACUGGCCCGGUACUGACGCUCAUGCACGACAGCGUGGGGAUCAAACAGG